rnacentral:snoRNA from 1 species
AGCACUUGUAUGUGUCUUUGUUGAACUGAUGAACAGAGACUUAAAAACAGGUGCAAAAAUAAACUCUUCUGCAACCCAGAGCUUAUUGUUGAGUUUUUCAUGCAUACUAGAAAGAAUAUA